AGAGCGAACGCUGGCGGCAGGCCUAACACAUGCAAGUCGAGCGCCCCGCAAGGGGAGCGGCAGACGGGAGAGUAACACGUGGGAACGUACCCUUUGGUUCGGAACAACGCAGGGAAACUUGCGCUAAUACCGAAUAAGCCCGAAAGGGGAAAGAUUUAUCGCCAGUAGAUCAGCCCGCGUAGGAUUAGCUAGUUGGUGGGGUAAUGGCCCACCAAGGCUCCGAUCCUUAGCUGUUCUGAGAGGAAGAUCAGCCACACUGGGACUGAGACACGGCCCAGACUCCUACGGGAGGCAGCAGUUGGGAAUCUUGGACAAUGGGGGAAACCCUGAUCCAGCCAUGCCGCGUGAGUGAUGAAGGCCUUCGGGUUGUAAAACUCUUUCGACGGGGACGAUAAUGACGGUACCGUAGAAGAAGCUCCGGCUAACUUCGUGCCAGCAGCCGC
rnacentral:rRNA from 1 species